GGCGAACGGGUGAGUAACACGUGGGCAAUCUGCCCUUCACUCUGGGACAAGCCCUGGAAACGGGGUCUAAUACCGGAUAUGACACGGGGUCGCAUGAUCUCCGUGUGGAAAGCUCCGGCGGUGAAGGAUGAGCCCGCGGCCUAUCAGCUUGUUGGUGGGGUGAUGGCCUACCAAGGCGACGACGGGUAGCCGGCCUGAGAGGGCGACCGGCCACACUGGGACUGAGACACGGCCCAGACUCCUACGGGAGGCAGCAGUGGGGAAUAUUGCACAAUGGGCGAAAGCCUGAUGCAGCGACGCCGCGUGAGGGAUGACGGCCUUCGGGUUGUAAACCUCUUUCAGCAGGGAAGAAGCGAGAGUGACGGUACCUGCAGAAGAAGCGCCGGCUAACUACGUGCCAGCAGCCGCGGUAAUACGUAGGGCGCAAGCGUUGUCCGGAAUUAUUGGGCGUAAAGAGCUCGUAGGCGGCUUGUCGCGUCGGAUGUGAAAGCCCGGGGCUUAACCCCGGGUCUGCAUUCGAUACGGGCAGGCUAGAGUUCGGUAGGGGAGAUCGGAAUUCCUGGUGUAGCGGUGAAAUGCGCA
rnacentral:rRNA from 1 species